CUGGCUCAGGAUGAACGCUGGCGGCGUGCCUAAUACAUGCAAGUGAAACGGGUAUCUUCGGAUACCAGUCGCGGACGGGUGAGUAAUACAUAGGCAACCUGCCUUUAUGAGGGGGAUAACCGAGGGAAACUUUGGCUAAUACCGCAUGAAGACUCUAAGGCAUCUUAGAGGGAUAAAAGUUGGGAAACAACGCAUGAAGAUGGGCUUAUGGCGCAUUAGCUAGUUGGUGAGAUAGAAGCCCACCAAGGUAAUGAUGCGUAGCCGACCUGAGAGGGUGAACGGCCACAUUGGGACUGAGACACGGCCCAAACUCCUACGGGAGGCAGCAGUAGGGAAUUUUCGGCAAUGGGGGGAACCCUGACCGAGCAACGCCGCGUGAAGGAAAGAAGGUUUUCGGAUUGUAAACUUCUGUUAUAAGGGAAGAACGGAUUGGAUAGGGAAUGAUCUGAUAGUGACGGUACCUUAUUAGAAAGCCACGGCUAACUACGUGCCAGCAGCAGC
rnacentral:rRNA from 1 species